GAUGAACGCUGGCGGCAUGCCUAAUACAUGCAAGUCGAACGAGAGGAAGGAAAGCUUGCUUUCCUGAAUCUAGUGGCGAACGGGUGAGUAACACGUAGGUAACCUGCCCAUGUGCCUGGGAUAACUUCUGGAAACGGAUGCUGAAACCGGAUAGGUAGCAGACAAGCAUUUGACUGCUAUUAAAGUGGCCUUGGCCAUGAACAUGGAUGGACCUGCGGUGCAUUAGCUGGUUGGUGAGGUAACGGCCCACCAAGGCGACGAUGCAUAGCCGGCCUGAGAGGGCGGACGGCCACAUUGGGACUGAGACACGGCCCAAACUCCUACGGGAGGCAGCAGUAGGGAAUUUUCGUCAAUGGGGGAACCCUGAACGAGCAAUGCCGCGUGAGUGAGGAAGGUCUUCGGAUCGUAAAGCUCUGUUGUAAGAGAAAAACGGCUCUCAUAGGGAAUGAUGAGUGAGUGAUGGUAUCUUACCAGAAAGUCACGGCUAACUACGUGCCAGCCGCCGCAGUAA
rnacentral:rRNA from 1 species